UCUGUCUAGAGUCUCGCUCCAGAGAUUGGGGGGUCUGACCUCCGCCUGUAGCCACUUCAUCCAGCCAGCUCCCUGUCCCAAGGAGAAGGGGGAGAGAGCCCAGUGAGGGCCACCAGGGACACCACUACAUUCAGCCAGCUCCCUGCACGGGCUGGGGCAACCCAGGGGGUGCUACUUCAUCCAGCCAGCUUCCUGUUCCAGCUAUAGAGAGAAAUAGUAUGGCAUAUUUUUCGUGACCAGGGAGGGGAGCACGUCAACAGCCGGGAUGCUACUAACAUCGCCAACCUCCUCCGUCAGAGGAUCCAGCAGCUAUCUCCAUGGUUACAUGGCAAGGCCGCCAACUUCAUAGGAUGAAUUGUGAGUUCAAGAGGUUCUAUUCGAGAAAUCCAAGAUUCACUGAGAUGCUUUUCCUUAAGGGAAAUGUAAACAAAGAACAGUCAAACCCACACACACUUAACAAACAUACUCUGAGAAGAGAGGUUUACUGUCGGUCUGUCAAAACAAGAUGUUUUUAAUUUCUCUAAACUGAUUCAAUGAUUAGUAAAGACUGACUCACUGUCUUGUCGGAGGUUUUAAUAGUUAUAGAGGUGGAAUGUGUCCAUACGGUAGGUGCUGACCUGCCUGGUAUCUGAAUGUACUGUCUGAUGUAGGUUCGGGACAAUGUAUUUUAUUUGAUGAUACAAAAUGGCAGUUUCAGUUUAUAAUGGGCUUGAUUCAACUUUAACCGUUUGAGUGUAGAGAACAGUGUUUUAUUCAUUCUGUGAAGUGACCACACUGUAGUGAAUGUGGUGUUGAUAUGUUUGUCUGCUGAAAGUAACCUAAUUGCUCAGUGUGCAACCUCUGUAAACGGAGAAAAAGAAACCCUGUACACUUAAUUGUUUUUAACAUGAAAUAUGUUGCCAAUACCCUCCACAUCAUUCACUCCACAUCAUUAAUUUAUCUGUCAUGGUUUGCCGUCCUUGAAGUGUGGGUGGGAAUCAUUUGGUUAGUUGUGGGAUGAUGCAGUCUUGCAAAAGUUUAUUUUCAACUAAAAAAUAAAAUACUAUUCUUAUGAUGUUUGAUAACUUAUGUGAGAACUUGUGAUCUUAAAUGCUAAUAGUGUCCCCUUUAAGACACUUCAAAUAGGUAUCCUUCUCUUUUCCUUUCAAGUUGUUUUGCACCAACCCUUGUAUGGAAUAAAUGUAAUGUUUUUUAAACCUUA